rnacentral:rRNA from 1 species
CUACGGGGGGCUGCAGUGGGGAAUCUUAGACAAUGGGCGCAAGCCUGAUCUAGCCAUGCCGCGUGAGCGAUGAAGGCCUUAGGGUUGUAAAGCUCUUUCAGCGAGGAAGAUAAUGACUGUACUCGCAGAAGAAGCCCCGGCUAACUCCGUGCCAGCAGCCGCGGUAAUACGGAGGGGGCUAGCGUUGUUCGGAAUUACUGGGCGUAAAGCGCACGUAGGCGGAUCAGAAAGUCAGAGGUGAAAUCCCAGGGCUCAACCUUGGAACUGCCUUUGAAACUCCUGAUCUUGAGUUCGAGAGAGGUGAGCGGAAUUCCGAGUGUAGAGGUGAAAUUCGUAGAUAUUCGGAGGAACACCAGUGGCGAAGGCGGCUCACUGGCUCGAUACUGACGCUGAGGUGCGAAAGCGUGGGGAGCAAACAGGAUUAGAUACCCGCGUAGUC